GCAAUGAGUCACUCUUGAACUGAGCAGAAGCACUUAGAAAUCAGAUCAAAUCCAAACACCCUAAUCUUCCUCACUCGUUUCUUGAUGCCACAAAGAUCCAAUAUGGCAAGGACAUUGGUCAUGCGGUUCUUGAGACAUAUUCCCGAACACUUGCGAAUCUAGCUUUCCGGAUUCUAUCAAGAAUGGGAGAAAUCUUGAAAGAAGAUUCUUUAAGCAACCCUAACUCUCCUGAACCACCGAGUUGCUUUUCUAGCUCCCGUGACCCUUAUAGAACACCCGAGAGGCCUUUGCUUUUGUCCCGUGUAAGGCAUUCUGUAGCCGAUGACAUGAACAAAGCCGAUGGGACAGAGACUGGUUUAGAUUUUUUGUUUGCAGAUGCUAAGGAAAGUUCUGUGAAUACAACUCCAAGUAGAAGCAGUAGAUUGUGGUGUUUGAGUAAAGUGCCUUCUGAUACUUCUUCUUGAUUUAGAGGGUCUUCGUAGUUUGAUGCGUGCCACCUGAAGCUUCUCCUUUACUUUGAGGGUUUUAAAUUAUGAAGCCUAAGAUAUUGUAAAUGUAUUAUUAACAUGGCUUCAUAAUAUACAAUAUCUAGAUCCCUUCGUAUUAUUCAUCAAGAAUUUUAUAGCAAAAUGGCUUCCUAGCCUUCUAAAA